rnacentral:rRNA from 1 species
UGAGGAAUAUUGGUCAAUGGGCGCGAGCCUGAACCAGCCAAGUCGCGUGAGGGAUGAAGGUUCUAUGGAUCGUAAACCUCUUUUAUAAGGGAAUAAAGUGUGGGACGUGUCCCGUUUUGUAUGUACCUUAUGAAUAAGGAUCGGCUAACUCCGUGCCAGCAGCCGCGGUAAUACGGAGGAUCCGAGCGUUAUCCGGAUUUAUUGGUUAAGGGUGCGUAGGCGGCCUUUUAAGUCAGCGGUGAAAGUCUGUGGCUCAACCAUAGAAUUGCCGUUGAAACUGGGGCGGUGCUGUGAUGUUUGAGGCAGGCGGAAUGCGUGGUGUAGCGGUGAAAUGCUUAGAUAUCACGCAGAACCCCGAUUGCGAAGGCAGCCUGCCAAGCCAUGACUGACGAUGAUGCACGAAAGCGUGGGGAUCAAACAGGAUUUAGAUACC